UUGAAUUGCCUUCAAAGUUUCCUGACAUCUUUGCUAAUGCACCCUUAAGGUUAAGAUCCAACUUGCUCUUGUAUGGACCUCCAGGAUGUGGAAAAACGCACAUUGUUGGUGCUGCUGCUGCUGCGUGUUCUUUAAGAUUUAUUUCCAUCAAAGGACCUGAGCUUCUGAACAAAUAUAUAGGUGCCUCUGAGAAAGCUGUUCGUGAUUUAUUUGCUAAAGCGGCUGCUGCAGCACCUUGCCUUCUUUUCUUUGAUGAGUUUGAUUCUAUUGCACCUAAAAGAGGACACGACAAUACUGGGGUAACUGAUCGUGUUGUUAACCAGUUACUGACUGAGUUAGACGGUGUGGAAGCUUUGAAUGGGGUGUUUGUGUUUGCUGCAACUAGUCGGCCAGAUCUACUUGACGCGGCACUCUUACGGCCUGGAAGGCUUGAUCGGCUUCUUUAUUGUGAUUUUCCAACAUGGCAAGAACGAUUAGAUAUUCUCACAGUUCUGUCAAAAAAGGUUCUGUCAUCAUCCUUGUACCUGCA